AGCUCGCUCGCCUAGCCUAGCCGGUCCACGACGAAAACCAACACAUCACCAACUGCUCAGGCAUAAUUGCUUUGCCGCCCUCCAGGUCGGACUGACUGCUACGUCUCUGUCUACGUAUACCCCAGCCUCCUCGUCGUCGUCUCGUACUAGGAUCUUGCUACAAAUAGCCGGCUGCUUGCUAGCUUUAGCUUCUUCCUUCUCCCGAGAGAGACGAUCGAGAUCACGCGCCCACAGAAACUGCAGAUUAAGCGGCAGAGAUUGUAGAUAGCGCGAGGUUAUUAAGGCCAGCAGUCUGACCGCGCGCGGCAUGCCCUUCUGCUGCUGCAACCGACCAAAUGGCUCCUGCGGUUGCCUCCUCCCCGUCACUCGUGCUCUCCGCCGCCGCCGCCACCGCCUCCAACAAGCGCCCGGCCGAUUCCGACGCCUCGCCGCCGCACCAGGGAGAUCGCACGGGGCAGCAGGAGAAGAAGCAGCAGCAGCUGGAGUGCCCGCGCUGCCGAUCCACCAACACCAAGUUCUGCUACUACAACAACUACAGCACGUCGCAGCCGCGCCACUUCUGCCGCGCCUGCCGCCGCUACUGGACGCACGGGGGCACGCUCCGCGACGUGCCGGUGGGCGGCGCCUCUCGCCGCGGCGGCGGCGGCAAGCGCCGCAGGGUCUCCGCCGACGCCGACCCUUCCUCGGCGUCGCCGCCGCCACCCACGACUUCCACCACGGACGCGUACGCCGACCUCCCAGCCGGCUUCCCGUUCCUCAGUGACGGCGCCUUCCUGCCGCAGUUCGGCCUCGCCGGCGUUGCGCCGGCCGCGUUCUCUUGGGCAUCGGCUGUCCCUGACUUGUACAACUGCGGGAUCGCGCCGUGGGACGAUGGAACGGCGGUCACCGGCGCGGCGUGGGACAACUUCGCCGACAUCGCCGGCCUUGAUCUCAGCUGGCCGCCGCCGGGUAACUGACGAACAGUACACAGCUGGUCGCUCGUGUUUUGGGGGGCUCCGGUUUUAGCAAAGCAGCCUCAAGUAGUGCGUUCUUCGAUCGGUAUGCAGGUAGUGUGUUCUUCGAUCGGUAUGAAGUAUAUUUUGCUGAGCUAGGGAUUAUGAUAUAAUUAUUGGGAAUGUAAUUAAGCAGCUCAAUUAUCCAACGUGGUGUUUGCAGUUUUCUUCUCUCACCAAUUUCAUACGCUUGCACAAUGAUGUGGUGAUUAUCAUUGGGAUCAGUGAAUCGUGAUCUGUAGCUGGAAGAUGUGUUUACGUAUGUGCAGUGUUAAUGACAAUAAUAAGAGUUUGUUGCCAUCAA